rnacentral:rRNA from 1 species
CCUACGGGUGACAGCAGUGAGGAAUAUUGGUCAAUGGACGAGAGUCUGAACCAGCCAAGUAGCGUGAAGGAUGACUGCCCUAUGGGUUGUAAACUUCUUUUAUAUGGGAAUAAAACGUUCCACGUGUGGGAUUUUGUAUGUACCAUAUGAAUAAGGAUCGGCUAACUCCGUGCCAGCAGCCGCGGUAAUACGGAGGAUCCGAGCGUUAUCCGGAUUUAUUGGGUUUAAAGGGAGCGUAGGUGGAUUGUUAAGUCAGUUGUGAAAGUUUGCGGCUCAACCGUAAAAUUGCAGUUGAAACUGGCAGUCUUGAGUACAGUAGAGGUGGGCGGAAUUCGUGGUGUAGCGGUGAAAUGCUUAGAUAUCACGAAGAACUCCGAUUGCGAAGGCAGUUCACUGGACUGCAACUGACACUGAGGCUCGAAAGUGUGGGUAUCAAACAGGAUUGGAUACCCGUGUAGUC